GAGGGAGGAUGCAAGUGUUAUCCGGAAUCACUGGGCGUAAAGCGUCUGUAGGUGGUCAAAUAAGUCAACUGUUAAAUCUUGAGGCUCAACCUCAAAAUCGCAGUCGAAACUAUUAGACUAGAGUAUAGUAGGGGUAAAGGGAAUUUCCAGUGGAGCGGUGAAAUGCGUAGAUAUUGGAAAGAACACCGAUGGCGAAGGCACUUUACUGGGCUAUUACUAACACUGCGAUACCAAAGCUAGGGUAGCAAAUGGG
rnacentral:rRNA from 1 species